rnacentral:rRNA from 1 species
CGUGUAGUACGGCUCAGUAACACGUAGUCAACCUGCCCUGAAGACGAGGACAACCCGGGAAACUGGGAUUAAUCCUCGAUUGGUCAUCCCAUCUGGAAGGAGGGAUGGCUUAAAGGGGUGCACGGGCUUCUUCUGUGCAUUCGCUCCAGGAUGGGACUGCGCCCGAUCAGGCUGUUGGCGGGGUAAUGGCCCACCAAACCUGUAACCGGUACGGGCCUUGAGAGAGGUGGCCCGGAGAUGGACACUGAGAGAAGGGUCCAGGUCCUACGGGGCGCAGCAGGCGCGAAACCUUCGCAAUGCGCGAAAGCGUGACGAGGUUAAUCCGAGUGGUCCCCGCUGAGGGGAUCUUUUGUUGGCUGUAAAAAGGCCGGUGAAUAAGGGGAGGGCAAGCCUGGUGUCAGCCGCCGCGGUAAUACCAGCUCCUCGAGUGAUCGGGGCGAUUAUUGGGCCUAAAGCAUCCGUAGCCGGUUCCGUAGGUCUUCGGUUAAAUCCAACCGCUUAACGGUUGGCCCGCAGGAGAUACCGCGGGAUUAGGAGGCGGGAGAGAUGGACGGUAUUCCGCGUGUAGGGGUAAAAUCCUUUGAUCCUCGGAGGACCACCAGUGGCGAAGGCGUUCCACCAGAACGCGCUCGACGGUGAGGGAUGAAAUCUGGGGGAGCGAACCGUAUUAGAUACCCGGGUAGUCCCAGCCGUAGACGAUGCGAGCUAGAUGAUUCAAUCGCCUCGAGUUGAAGUGUUUCAGGGAUCCUGUUAAGCUCUCCGCCUGGUC